AAUCAACGCUGGCGGCGUGCCUAACACAUGCAAGUCGCACGAGAAAGGGGAGCAAUCCCUGAGUAAAGUGGCGCACGGGUGAGUAACACGUGAAUCAUCUACCUCCGAGUGGGGAAGUAACUGAGAGAAAUACUUAGCUAAUACCGCAUAACACUUACGAGUCAAAGCAGCAAUGCGCUUGGAGAGGAGUUCGCGGCCGAUUAGUUAGUUGGCGGGGUAAG
rnacentral:rRNA from 1 species